rnacentral:rRNA from 1 species
CUUAGGGAUACGUUCGUUGGGUAGGGGAGCGUUCUGUAAGCCGUUGAAGGUGGCCUGUGAGGGUUGCUGGAGGUAUCAGAAGUGCGAAUGCUGACAUAAGUAACGAUAAAGCGGGUGAAAAGCCCGCUCGCCGGAAGACCAAGGGUUCCUGUCCAACGUUAAUCGGGGCAGGGUGAGUCGACCCCUAAGGCGAGGCCGAAAGGCGUAGUCGAUGGGAAACGGGUUAAUAUUCCCGUACUUGGUGUUACUGCGAAGGGGGGACGGAGAAGGCUAUGUUGGCCGGGCGACGGUUGUCCCGGUUUAAGCGUGUAGGUGUGUGUUCCAGGUAAAUCCGGUUCACUUUAACACUGAGGCGUGACGACGAGGCACUACGGUGCUGAAGCAACAAAUGCCCUGCUUCCAGGAAAAGCCUCUAAGCAUCAGGUAACAUCAAAUCGUACCCCAAACCGACACAGGUGGUCAGGUAGAGAAUACCAAGGCGCUUGAGAGAACUCGGGUGAAGGAACUAGGCAAAAUGGUGCCGUAACUUCGGGAGAAGGCACGCUGACACGUAGGUGAAGUGAUUUACUCAUGGAGCUGAAGUCAGUCGAAGAUACCAGCUGGCUGCAACUGUUUAUUAAAAACACAGCACUGUGCAAACACGAAAGUGGACGUAUACGGUGUGACGCCUGCCCGGUGCCGGAAGGUUAAUUGAUGGGGUCAGCGCAAGCGAAGCUCCUGAUCGAAGCCCCGGUAAACGGCGGCCGUAACUAUAACGGUCCUAAGGUAGCGAAAUUCCUUGUCGGGUAAGUUCCGACCUGCACGAAUGGCGUAAUGAUGGCCAGGCUGUCUCCACCCGAGACUCAGUGAAAUUGAACUCGCUGUGAAGAUGCAGUGUACCCGCGGCAAGACGGAAAGACCCCGUGAACCUUUACUAUAGCUUGACACUGAACAUUGAGCCUUGAUGUGUAG